GUAAAUUACAAUAAAUAACAAAAAAUAUAAAUAAAGUAACAGAAAAAGAGGCAAAUAGUAAUCAAAAGUAAUAUACCCAAAUCUUUUAAGCUUCAAGGCAGAAACACAAGUCACCAACUCCCCUCAAUGUUUCAGCACCAACUGGUUGCCUUUAUCAAGGGUAUGUCAGAGAACGUGUUACCAUUGUUCUGAUUUCUGGUUU